UUAGAUACCCUGGUAGUCCACACUGUAAACGAUGAUAACUCGCUGUCGGCGAUAGACCGUCGGUGGCCAAGCGAAAGCGAUAAGUUAUCCACCUGGGGAGUACGACCGCAAGGUUGAAACUCAAAGGAAUUGACGGGGGCCCGCACAAGCGGAGGAACAUGUGGUUUAAUUCGAUGAUACGCGAGGAACCUUACCCGGGCUCGAACGGUGCAUGAAUAAUACAGAGAUGGAUUAGUCCUUCGGGACAUGUAUCGAGGUGCUGCAUGGUUGUCGUCAGCUCGUGCCGUGAGGUGUCGGCUUAAGUGCCAUAACGAGCGCAACCCUUGUCAUUAGUUACCAUCAGGUUAAGCUGGGGACUCUAGUGAGACUGCCACCGUAAGGUGUGAGGAAGGGGGGGAUGACGUCAAAUCAGCACGGCCCUUAUGUCCGGGGCGACACACGUGUUACAAUGGGAGGUACAGAGGGCAGCCAGUUAGUGAUAACGAGCCAAUCUCAAAAACCUCUCUCAGUUCGGAUUGGAGUCUGCAACUCGACUCCAUGAAGUUGGAUUC
rnacentral:rRNA from 1 species